rnacentral:rRNA from 1 species
GGCGAACGGGUGAGUAACACGUGGGUAAUCUGCCCUGCACUCUGGGAUAAGCCUGGGAAACUGGGUCUAAUACUGGAUAUGACCUUUCUCCUUAUGGGGUUUGGUGGAAAGUUUUUCGGUGUAGGAUGAGCCCGCGGCCUAUCAGCUUGUUGGUGGGGUGAUGGCCUACCAAGGCGACGACGGGUAGCCGGCCUGAGAGGGUGAUCGGUCACAUUGGGACUGAGAUACGGCCCAG